GCUUACGGCCAUACCACCCUGAACGCGCCCGAUCUCGUCCGAUCUCGGAGCUAAGCAGGUCGGCCUGGUUAGUACUUGGAUGGGANACCGCCUGGGAAUACCAGGUGCUGUAACGC
rnacentral:rRNA from 15 species